GAUGAACGCUGGCGGCGUGCCUAAUACAUGCAAGUCGAGCGAACGGACGAGAAGCUUGCUUCUCUGAUGUUAGCGGCGGACGGGUGAGUAACACGUGGAUAACCUACCUAUAAGACUGGGAUAACUUCGGGAAACCGGAGCUAAUACCGGAUAAUAUUUUGAACCGCAUGGUUCAAAAGUGAAAGACGGUCUUGCUGUCACUUAUAGAUGGAUCCGCGCUGCAUUAGCUAGUUGGUAAGGUAACGGCUUACCAAGGCAACGAUGCAUAGCCGACCUGAGAGGGUGAUCGGCCACACUGGAACUGAGACACGGUCCAGACUCCUACGGGAGGCAGCAGUAGGGAAUCUUCCGCAAUGGGCGAAAGCCUGACGGAGCAACGCCGCGUGAGUGAUGAAGGUCUUCGGAUCGUAAAACUCUGUUAUUAGGGAAGAACAUAUGUGUAAGUAACUGUGCACAUCUUGACGGUACCUAAUCAGAAAGCCACGGCUAACUACGUGCCAGCAGCCGCGGUAAUACGUAGGUGGCAAGCGUUAUCCGGAAUUAUUGGGCGUAAAGCGCGCGUAGGCGGUUUUUUAGUCUGAUGUGAAAGCCCACGGCCUCACCCGGUGGAGGGUCAUUGGAAACUGGAAAACUUGAGUGCAGAAGAGGAAAGUGGAAUUCCAUGUGUAGCGGUGAAAUGCGCAGAGAUAUGGAGGAACACCAGUGGCGAAGGCGACUUUCUGGUCUGUAACUGACGCUGAUGUGCGAAAGCGUGGGGAUCAAACAGGAUUAGAUACCCUGGUAGUCCACGCCGUAAACGAUGAGUGCUAAGUGUUAGGGGGUUUCCGCCCCUUAGUGCUGCAGCUAACGCAUUAAGCACUCCGCCUGGGGAGUACGACCGCAAGGUUGAAACUCAAAGGAAUUGACGGGGACCCGCACAAGCGGUGGAGCAUGUGGUUUAAUUCGAAGCAACGCGAAGAACCUUACCAAAUCUUGACAUCCUUUGACAACUCUAGAGAUAGAGCCUUCCCCUUCGGGGGACAAAGUGACAGGUGGUGCAUGGUUGUCGUCAGCUCGUGUCGUGAGAUGUUGGGUUAAGUCCCGCAACGAGCGCAACCCUUAAGCUUAGUUGCCAUCAUUAAGUUGGGCACUCUAAGUUGACUGCCGGUGACAAACCGGAGGAAGGUGGGGAUGACGUCAAAUCAUCAUGCCCCUUAUGAUUUGGGCUACACACGUGCUACAAUGGACAAUACAAAGGGCAGCGAAACCGCGAGGUCAAGCAAAUCCCAUAAAGUUGUUCUCAGUUCGGAUUGUAGUCUGCAACUCGACUACAUGAAGCUGGAAUCGCUAGUAAUCGUAGAUCAGCAUGCUACGGUGAAUACGUUCCCGGGUCU
rnacentral:rRNA from 1 species